rnacentral:tRNA from 1 species
UCCAGGGUAGCCUAGUGGACAUGGCAUCUGCACGGUAAGCGGAAGAUCGUGGUUCGAUUCCCGCCCCUGGAC